AGAAAGCUUGCUUUCUUUGCUGGCGACCGGCGCACGGGUGAGUAACACGUAUCCAACCUGCCCUUUACUCGGGGAUAGCCUUUCGAAAGAAAGAUUAAUACCCGAUAGCAUAAUGAUUCCGCAUGGUUUCAUUAUUAAAGGUAUUCCGGUAGACGAUGGGGAUGCGUUCCAUUAGAUAGUAGGCGGGGUAACGGCCCACCUAGUCUUCGAUGGAUAGGGGUUCUGAGAGGAAGGUCCCCCACAUUGGAACUGAGACACGGUCCAAACUCCUACGGGAGGCAGCAGUGAGGAAUAUUGGUCAAUGGGCGCUAGCCUGAACCAGCCAAGUAGCGUGAAGGAUGAAGGCUCUAUGGGUCGUAAACUUCUUUUAUAUAAGAAUAAAGUGCAGUAUGUAUACUGUUUUGUAUGUAUUAUAUGAAUAAGGAUCGGCUAACUCCGUGCCAGCAGCCGCGGUAAUACGGAGGAUCCGAGCGUUAUCCGGAUUUAUUGGGUUUAAAGGGAGCGUAGGUGGACUGGUAAGUCAGUUGUGAAAGUUUGCGGCUCAACCGUAAAAUUGCAGUUGAUACUGUCAGUCUUGAGUACAGUAGAGGUGGGCGGAAUUCGUGGUGUAGCGGUGAAAUGCUUAGAUAUCACGAAGAACUCCGAUUGCGAAGGCAGCUCACUGGAC
rnacentral:rRNA from 1 species